UUGUAGCCGAGGCUCUAUAUUUAUAGCUAAAACUAUAGGACAAACUGGCAUAAUAAUUUCUAGAAAUUUAACGUUAUCUCUAGAAAUUUUAAAAUAAAAUUUAGAAAUACUUCCAUAUUUUCAUAUAUUUCUUUUAUUUCAUAAUCUUUUUUUUUUCCUUUUUACAUUAAAAGAAAAACUUAAUAUAGAAAAUAUUGUGACUUUGAAAAUGUCAAAUAGUGAAAAUGGCCAACCGCG
rnacentral:lncRNA from 1 species